rnacentral:misc_RNA from 1 species
UACGCCAGUCCUACCUAA